AAGGAAGGAAGGAAGGAAGGAAGGAAGGAAGGAAGGAAGGAAGGAAGGCAUUGGUAUCUCCAAUUUUGUGGCUCAUUGCAUAACAGGGUGGUUGAAAUGUCUUAAAAUGCCCUCUGGUAUGAAUAAUAAACUGUUGUUCCAAGGUUUCAGGCAGUAGGGACAGAGGCUGCAUGUGAAAAACCUGCAAAGGAAACAGGAGCCUUGCUGGAGGAAGCUGGGCCAAACUCCAGAUCCUGUCAGUGAAAGGAUAAAGAAGAGAGAAGAAACCCUUCUGCCAUGCCAGACAUUUGUUGGUCACUAGCACAUUCCACACCACAGCAAGACCAUAUUUGUUUUUGUGUGCUAAAUGCUGUAGCAAGGGACAGUUCAUAGUGAAGAUGACAAGAUCGAAUCAGACUGAACUGAGUGAUCUCAGCAUCAAAUUUUGAGCGGUCUAUGUUCAAGAAGAAAAGCUGCCUAUUAAAGAAAGG